AGGGAGAGAAACUCGGUCUCACAAAGCCCUUGUCUGUUAACUCCUGCAACUGAGCCUUCAAUUCUUUUAAUUCAGUCGGAGCCAUUUUAUAUGGAGCAAUCGAGAUCGGUGCAGUACCCGGCAACAAAUCAAUGGCAAAAUCUAUCUCUCUGUUCGGAGGCAACCCAGGCAAUUCCUCUGGAAAUACAGCUGGAAACUCACAGACUAUCGGUACUGAUUCAAACUUCAGUUGAGGCAACUCAAUAUUCAUUACAUAAGCCAGAUAAGCU
rnacentral:lncRNA from 1 species